AGUGAACGCUGGCGGUAGGCCUAACACAUGCAAGUCGAACGGCAGCACAGUAAGAGCUUGCUCUUACGGGUGGCGAGUGGCGGACGGGUGAGGAAUACAUCGGAAUCUACUUUUUCGUGGGGGAUAACGUAGGGAAACUUACGCUAAUACCGCAUACGACCUACGGGUGAAAGCAGGGGAUCUUCGGACCUUGCGCGAUUGAAUGAGCCGAUGUCGGAUUAGCUAGUUGGCGGGGUAAAGGCCCACCAAGGCGACGAUCCGUAGCUGGUCUGAGAGGAUGAUCAGCCACACUGGAGCAGAGACACGGUCCAGACUCCUAAGCGAGGCAGCAGUGGGGAACAUUCGACAAUGUGCGCAAGUCUCAACCAGCCAUACCGCGUUGGUGAAGCAGGCUUUCGCGUUUUAAAGCCUUUUUGUCGGGAAAGAAAAGCAGCAGGUUAAUACCACGCUGUUCUGACGGUACCUAAAGAAUAAGCUCCGGCUAACUUCGUG
rnacentral:rRNA from 1 species